UACGUAGGGUGCGAGCGUUUAAUCGGAAUUACUGGGCGUAAAGCGUGCGCAGGCGGUUGGUUAAGUCUGAUGUGAAAGCCCCGGGCUCAACCUGGGAAUGGCAUUGGAAACUGGCUGGCUAGAGUGUGGCAGAGGGGGGUGGAAUUCCGCGUGUAGCAGUGAAAUGCGUAGAGAUGCGGAGGAACACCGAUGGCGAAGGCAGCCCCCUGGGCUAGCACUGACGCUCAUGCACGAAAGCGUGGGGAGCAAACAGG
rnacentral:rRNA from 1 species